rnacentral:rRNA from 1 species
AGAUUGAACGCUAGCGGGAUGCUUUACACAUGCAAGUCGAACGGCAGCGCGGACUUCGGUCUGGCGGCGAGUGGCGAACGGGUGAGUAAUAUAUCGGAACGUGCCCAGUAGCGGGGGAUAACUACGCGAAAGCGUGGCUAAUACCGCAUACGCCCUACGGGGGAAAGGGGGGAUCGCAAGACCUCUCACUAUUGGAGCGGCCGAUAUCAGAUUAGCUAGUUGGUGAGGUAAAGGCUCACCAAGGCGACGAUCUGUAGCUGGUUUGAGAGGACGACCAGCCACACUGGGACUGAGACACGGCCCAGACUCCUACGGGAGACAGCAGUGGGGGAAUCUUGCGCAAUGGGGGCAACCCUGACGCAGCCAUGCCGCGUGAACGAUGAAGCCUAGGGUUGUAAAGUCUUUGCCCGUGACGAUGAUGACGGUAAC